rnacentral:rRNA from 1 species
UACGUAGGGUGCGAGCGUUGUCCGGAAUUACUGGGCGUAAAGAGCUCGUAGGUGGUUUGUCGCGUUGUUCGUGAAAACUCACAGCUCAACUGUGGGCGUGCGGGCGAUACGGGCAGACUGGAGUACUGCAGGGGAGACUGGAAUUCCUGGUGUAGCGGUGGAAUGCGCAGAUAUCAGGAGGAACACCGGUGGCGAAGGCGGUUCUCUGGGCAUUACCUGACGCUGAGGAGCGAAAGUGUGGGGAGCGAACAGG